rnacentral:lncRNA from 1 species
CAGUUGAAAAUCACCUGCUGGAUAGUCUGAAGUUAUAGUAUGUAAUUUUUCAUUUCUUAUCAUGUAAGACAUUCAUAUUUGUUAUAGUAAAGUUAGUAAAUAUAAAUGGAUAAAAAAGAAAAAAAACACCAUAAAAGGGAAAAUUACCCAAAUGAAAAACAUCUUAUUUCUCAUCUUGAAUUAAUGUCUUUUAAACAAAACACCAUAUACUCUUUCAUUGCUGUAGUGAAUGUUUCUUACAACAUUGAUCAAUUAACAUACUGUGUUAUAGUUUCUGUCACUACACUGUAAAUUUACAGACAGUAAAUUUACAUCAUAAGCUUGGCCUGAUGUUUUCAAAGAAAUUCCUUUUUUAUUAAACAAAUUGUAAACAAUACAUAACAACUGUCUUUCUCUGACUUAGAAUUACAAAUCCCAGAUGCAAGCAUGGCUUUCUAAAAGUCACAAAAACAAUCUUUAAGUAAACAAAAUGAAGUGGGUCACAAGUAAGCAGUUCCAUGAGUCUAUGGCUUGAUGUGCAACAGGGAUGAGAGAGGCAUUACUAAAAAUCAAGAUGCUCUGAAAGAAAUGGGCAAGGGAACUCUUCUCUAUUGUGGGGCUCUUGACAGAAUGCCAAAGUUGGAGAAUGAGUCACUUCUGCUGCCGUCAGAGCUGUUCCAGGAGCCUACGAAACUGAAGUCCAUGUUUCAGGCACUCACUACCUUUGAUGCAUUUGAUGAGGAGCCUCAAACAGUGGAUUCCUCCUGGUUUGGCAGCCAAGAAAAGAUUUAUUUCAGUGUUUACACCUGCUGGAAAAUUGGGAAUUCCAGAAAUCUCACAGUGUCCAGACCAGUUUUCUUUACCAAUCUGGGAUGCAGCACCCUCUUUUGAAAAACAGAGAUCAGUUCUUAGACUUUGUACAUUUAUACUAGUUUUACUUCAUUGGUACCAGGGUGACUUGAAUUCUUGAAAAGGAUGCAGUUUCCUAGAAACUUUUAGAAGAAAAGCAUUAAAAUAAAAGUUGACCAUUGAAUGGCUGGGAUUUUCUG